rnacentral:misc_RNA from 1 species
GACAAAGGCACUGUCCAUGUAUUCAGGCUUCGUGUUCGGGGUGGACAAGAUGCCUCAAACCAACUCCCUUCUGGUCAACGUUCUGAUUUGGUUCAUCAAAACUCUUCGGCUUCUUUAGAUGUGCUUCCUUCACAAAAUACUGGAGCUAACACCAGCUCAUCACUGUCCUUUAUGAAAGGGUUUCUGCCGAAGUAUUUUAGUUCAGAAUGGUCAUUUGCUCAGUUCCGUUUGCCGGAAAUCACACGCUAUAUUGCUGCAUUUGGAGC